GGGGGUAUAGCUCAGCUGGUUAGAGCGUUCGCUUCACAUGCGAGAGGUCGCGGGUUCGAGCCCCUCUACCCCCACCA
rnacentral:tRNA from 1 species